AAGUAGCAUCCCGGCCUCUCCAGGGAAGGGUUCUGCGGGAGCUUCCCGAGCAAUUGCUGCUUUGGAUAGGGCAGAAGGCAGCGACGCUGUAAACUGGGCCCUUUACCCGGCAAGAAUGAGUGUUGUCCCAAACUAGAGCAGGUACGAGGUGGACCAGUCCUGGACUCCUCACUUCUUUCUGGACAAUCAAGACUGAAGUCGCAAGGGAAUGGGACAACGGUCCUGAUGAGGGACUCCAGGCAGUGCUGGAUCCUAAGCUGGCAGCCCAUAGUUCCCAUAUCGAAAGAAUGUCCCACCCCUUUCAGCCUUCGAUUAUGGGUGAACUUGGGAAGAUGAACACCUACAUCCUGAUCCAUUAAAGUCACCCACUAACCUUGGCUUUAUCCAGAAGGGUGGAUUGCCUGAAAGCCUGCAAGGGGAAUGGUCACCCAGGAUGGCCAUACACACAGGACCUCAUCCCACCCGACUGCAAGUCCACCUGUCUGCCAUCCACUCACAGGAUGUACAUGAUGACACCAAUGGCCCAGCAGUCCACAGGGCGUCCAUACCGUUGCCGGCCUACCACCUCUGGGGCUAUAAAUACAGUAUCCAUGUGCUGGUGUGCAGUUUGCCAGUCGUCUUGUCCUUGGCCCGGAAGAUUUCACAGAACUCCUCGCUGCAGCAAGAGGUACUCUGUUCAGCCCUGGCCUUAGCAUAAGCUAUUUCCCAGACGAAGGGGCUGAAAUCACCCAUUCACCAGAUAUUUAUCUCUGAAGAUCUGGAGAUCCCAAGUUUUGGGGAAGAUGUGGAAAACAAGAACACUGCUAAUAGAGGGCAGCUCUCCCCAUUGAAAACCAGUUUGGUUAAACAAACAUGCCCUGUGUAAUCCUAAAUAUUUGCUCCACAGAAAUGCAUAUGUUUGUGCCUCAGAACACUUGUAUAAGUAUGCUCCUAUAGUGUCCAUAUCCAUAAUUGCCAAAAGUUGGAAACAGCAUAAAUAUUUAUCACCAGCAGAAUGUAUUGUGAUAGAGUCAUACAGAUGAAUAUUAUACUGCAAUGAAAAUAAAGGAACUACAGAUAAUGGUUCCUUCCAAGAGA